rnacentral:rRNA from 1 species
UACAGAGGUGCCAAGCGUUAGGCGGAAUCACUGGGCUUAAAGCGCGUGUAGGUGGGUCGUUAAGUGUCCGCGUGAAAGCCCACGGCUCAACCGUGGAAGUGCCUUUGAUACCGUGAGUCUCGAGGGAGGUAGGGGCGUGCGGAACUUCCGGUGGAGCGGUGAAAUGCGUAGAUAUCGGAAGGAACAUCGGUGGCGAAAGCGGCGACGCUGGACCU